rnacentral:tRNA from 1 species
AUCGAGGGUAGGCGACUGGAAGAAUCUAGACAUACGGAAUCAUAAUCCGUAGGUCGGGGGUUCAAAUCCCUCCCCCGCUACCA